GAUGAAGAACGUAGCGAAAUGCGAUAAGUAAUGUGAAUUGCAGAAUUCAGUGAAUCAUCGAAUCUUUGAACGCACAUUGCGCCCGCUAGUAUUCUGGCGGGCAUGCCUGUCCGAGCGUCAUUUCAACCCUCAAGCCCCUCCGGGGGCCUGGCGUUGGGGAUCGGCCCCGCUCCGGCGGCCGGCCCCGAAAUGUAGUGGCGGUCUCGCCGCUGCCUCCUCUGCGUAGUAGAAACACCUCGCAUUGGGACGCGGCGGGCCCACGCCGUUAACCAGAUGAAUUUUUUCAAGGUUGACCUCGGAUCAGGUAGGAAUACCCGCUGAACUUAAGCAUAUCAAUAAGCGGAGA
rnacentral:misc_RNA from 1 species